rnacentral:snoRNA from 1 species
GCAUGGGUUUGGAUUUAUGGCAGGCCCGUCCCCCUGGGUCUUUCACAGUGUCCCAUACCAGAGCAAGCUGUGGCUCCAGACCAUUGCCUGGCCUCUACCUGUAGGCUGCUGGCACUGAAGUGGGUUGCACAGUA